rnacentral:rRNA from 1 species
UACGAAGGGGGGCUAGCGUUGCUCGGAAUCACUGGGCGUAAAGGGUGCGUAGGCGGGUCUUUUAAGUCAGGGGGUGAAAUCCUGGAGCUCAACUCCAGAACUGCCUUUGAUACUGAAGAUCUUGAGUUCGGGAGAGGUGAGUGGAACUGCGAGUGUAGAGGUGAAAUUCGUAGAUAUUCGCAAGAACACCAGUGGCGAAGGCGGCUCACUGGCCCGAUACUGACGCUGAGGCACGAAAGCGUGGGGAGCGAACAGG